rnacentral:rRNA from 1 species
AACUUUGAGCGGUGGAUCACUCGGCUCGUACGUCGAUGAAGAGUACAGCCAACUGUGUGAAUUAAUGUGAACUGCAUACUGCUUUGAACACCGAUAUCUUUAACGCAUAUUGCGGCUACGGGAUAUCCUGUGGCCACGUCUGUCCGAGGGUCG